rnacentral:rRNA from 2 species
UAAACAUUGACAGUUCAUUACACCCACUGUCCGCCUGGGAACUACGAGCACCAGCUUAAAACCCAAAGGACUUGGCGGUGCUUUAGACCCACCUAGAGGAGCCUGUUCUAGAACCGAUAAUCCCCGUUAAACCUCACCCUUCCUUGCCAUUUCCGCCUAUAUACCACCGUCGUCAGCUUACCCUGUGAAGGUCCCAUAGUAAGCACAAUCGGCACUGCCCAGUACGUCAGGUCGAGGUGUAGCGAAUGGAAGGGGAAGAAAUGGGCUACAUUUACUAAUUCAGUAAAUACGGAUGAUCACCCUGCAACGAGUAUCUGAAGGAGGAUUUAGCAGUAAGCAAAAAAUAGAGUGUUUUGCUGAAAUUGGC